rfam:Brassica rapa chromosome A10, whole genome shotgun sequence.
UCCACCCUACAAACCUCGAGUUCAGUUCGUCUUCCUCUCCCAUGCUUCUCACAUCAUCACACUCAUCUUCUCCCCAUUACAAAUCUCCAAGACCCACAACACUCGACACUAUCAAGAUGUCACCACUUCACGAAGAUCCUCAAGAUUCAAGAGUUAUGAUCGAUUUCUUCUAGAUUUACCCCCAUCUCUCUCUCUCAUUCAUGCUUUUGUGUGUGUGUUUUC